rnacentral:pre_miRNA from 1 species
AUACUACUCCCUCCGUUCAGAAUUACUUGUCGCGGAAAUGAAUGUAUCUAGAUGUAUUUUAGUUCUAGAUACAUCCAUUUCCGAGACAAGUAAUUCCGAACGGAGAGAGUAUUAC